GAUGAAGAACGUAGCGAAAUGCGAUACGUAAUGUGAAUUGCAGAAUUCAGUGAAUCAUCGAGUCUUUGAACGCACAUUGCGCCCCCUGGUAUUCCGGGGGGCAUGCCUGUCCGAGCGUCAUUGCUGCCCUCAAGCACGGCUUGUGUGUUGGGCCUCCGUCCUCCUCCCGGGGGACGGGCCCGAAAGGCAGCGGCGGCACCGCGUCCGGUCCUCGAGCGUAUGGGGCUUCGUCACCCGCUCUUGUAGGCCCGGCCGGCGCUUGCCGACACAUCAAUCUUUUUUCCAGGUUGACCUCGGAUCAGGUAGGGAUACCCCCUGAACUUAAGCAUAUCAAUAAGCGGAGGA
rnacentral:misc_RNA from 1 species